rnacentral:lncRNA from 10 species
AGACAGGUCUCCCUCCAUUGCCCAGGCUGGUGUGUAGCAGUGGGAUCACGGAGCACUGCAACGUUGACCUUUCAGGCUCAGGUGAUUCUCCAACCUCAGCCUACAGAGUAGCUGGAACUGCAGGUCACACCACCAUGCACAGGUGUAUCAUAGCAAAUCCACUCUCUCAUACUGACAAUAUAUUUAACGUCCUACAUUGGAAGAUUUAAUCUCAUUCAGAGCAAUUAGGAUCUCUGAGAUGGAUAGAAUCAUAAAAAUUGUCCUGUCCUGGAAGAAGGUUGACAUUUAUUCUUCUACUUGUCUGAUAAACCUGCUCAAUCCAGUCUCAAUGCUCUCCCAAAUAUCCUUUCAAAGAUUCUACAAGAAGAGUGUUUCCAAACUGCUGAAUGAAAAGAAAGGUUUAACCCUGCGAGAUGAAUGCACACAUCAGAAAGCAGCUUCUCAGAUAGCUUCCUUCUAGUUUUUGACCUGCGAUAUUUGCUUUUUCCCUACUGGCCUCAAUUAGCUCCCAAAAGUCCAUUAGCAGAAUGACAAAAACAGUGUUUACAAACUGCUGAAUCAAAAGAAAGGUUUAACUCUGUGAGAUGAAUGCACACAUCACAAAGCAGUUUCUCGGAAAGCUUCUUUCUAGUUUUUAUCUGAAAGUGAUUUCUUUUUCACCAUAGGCCUGAAUGCACUCCCAAAUAUCACUUCGCAGAUUUUACACAAACAGUGUUUUGAAACUGCUGAGUGAAAAGAAAAGUAUAAUUCUGUGAGAUGAAUGCACAACACAAAGCAGUUUGUCAGAAAGCUUCCUUCUCGCUUUUAUCUGAAGAUAUUUUCUUUUUCAUCGUAGGACUUAACGCACUUGCAAAUGUCCAUUCGCAGAAUGUACAAAAACAGGGUUUCCUAACUGCUGAAUCAAAAGAAAGGUUUAACUCUGUGAGAUGAAUGCACACAUCACAAAACAGUUUCUCAGAUAGCUUCUUUCUAAUUUUAUUCUAAAGAAACUUGCUUUUUCAUCAUAGACCUCAAUGCAUUCCCAAAUAUCCCUUCGCAGAUACUACAAAAACAGUGCUUCCAAACUGCUGAAUGAAAAGAAAGAUUUAACUCUGUGAGAUGAAUGCAUACAUCACAAAGAGGUAUCUCAUAUAGCUGUCUUCUAAAUUGUAUCCUGGGAUAUUUCCUUUUUUGCCAUUGGCCCCAAUGAGCUCCAAAAUGUCCAUUUGCAGAUUGGUCAAAAACAGUGUUUCCAAACUGCUGAAUCAAAAGACAGGUUUAAAUCUGUAAGAAGAAUGCACACAUCACAAAGCAGUUUCUCAGAAAGCUACUUUCUAGUUUUUAUCUGAAGAGAAUUUCUUUUUCACCAUAGGCCUCAAUGUGCUCUCAAAUAUCCCUUUGCAGAUUCUACAAAAACACUGUUUCCAAACUGCUGAAUGAAAUGAAAGAUUUAACUCUGCAAGAUGAAUGCACACAUUACAAGCGGUUUCCCAGAUAGGUUUAUUCUAGUUUUUAUCCUGAUAUAAUAACAUUUUCACCAUUGGCUUCAACGAGCUCCCAAUUGUCCAUUUGCAAAAUGGACAAAAACAGUGUUUCCAAACAGCUGUAUCAAAAGAAAGGUUUAAAUCUGUUGGAUGAAUGCACCCAUCACAAACCAGUUUCUCAGAAAGCUUCUUUCUAGUUUUUAUCUGAAGGUAUUUUCUUUUUCACCAUAUGCCUCAAAAUGCACCUAAAUAUCCCUUUGAAGUUUCUACAAAAAAAUUGUUUCCAAACUGCUCAAUCAAAAGAGAUGUUUAGCUCUUUGAGAUGAAUGCACACAUUACAAAGCAGUUUCUCAAGAGGCUUCUUUCUAGUUUUUAUCUGGAGAUAUUUUCUUUUUCACCAUAGGUCUCAAUGUGCUCCCAAAUAUCCAUUCAAAGAUUCUAUAAGAACAGUGUUUCCAAACUGCUGAAUGAAAAGAAAGGUUUACCACUGUGAGAUGAAUGCACACAUCACAAGUGGUUUCCAAGAUAGGUUUCUUCUAGUUUUUAUCCUGGAAUAUUAGCAUUUUUGCCAUUGGCCUUAAUGAGCUCCCAAAUUUUCAUUUGCAGAAUGGACAAAAACAGUGUUUUUAAACUGCUGAAUUAAAAGAAAGCUUAAAUUCUGUGAGAUGAAUGCACACACCACAAAGUAGUUUCUCAGAAAGCUUCUUUCUAGUUUUUAUCUGAAGAUAGUUUCAUUUUCACUGUAGGCCUCAAUGCACUCCCAAAUAUCCCUUAGUAGAUUCUACAAAAACAGUGUUUCCAAACUGCUAAACGAAAGAAAGGUUUAACUCUGCGAGAUGAAUGCACGUGUCACAAAGCAGUUUCCAAGAUAAGUUUCUUCUAGUUUUAUCCUGGAAUAUUCACUUUUUCACCAUUGGCCUCAAUGAGCUCCCAAAUGUCCAUUCGCAGAAUGGACAAAAACAGUGUUUCCAAACUUCAGAAUCAAAAGAAAUAUUUAAGUUUGUGAGAUGAAUGCACACAUCACAGAUUGGUUGUUUAGAUAGCUUCCUUAUAGUUUUUACCCUGGGAUAUUUGCUUUUUUGCCAUUGGCCUCAAUAAGCUCCUCAAUGUCCUUUCACUGAAUGGAGAAAAACAGUGGUUGCGAUCUGCUGAAUCAAAAGAAAGGUUUAACUCUGUGAGACGAAUGCACAUACCUCAAAGCAGUUUCUCAGAAAGCUUCUUUCUAGUUUUUACCUGAAGAGAUCUUCUUUUUCACCAUAGGCUUCAAUACACUCCCAAUUAUCCCUUCACAGAUUCUACAAAAACAGUGUUUCCAAACUGCUGAAUGAAAAGAAAGGUUUAACUCUGCCAGAUGAAUGCACAUAUCACAAAGCGGUUUCUCAGAUAGCUUCCUUCUUGUUUUUAUGCUGGGAUAUUCACUUUUUCACCAUUGGCAUCAAUGAGCUUCCCAAUGUCCUUUCACUGAAUGGAGAAAAACAGCGGUUACAACCUGCUGAACAAAUAGAAAGUUUUAACUCUGUGAGAUGAAUGCACAUAUCACAAAACAGUUUCUCAGAAAGAUCCUUUCCAGUUACUAUCUGAAGGCGUUUUCUUUUUCAGCAUAGUACUCAAUGCACUCCAAAGUAUCCCUUCACAGAUUCUACAAAAUCAGUGUAUACAAACUGAAUAGAGAGGUUUCACUCAGUGAGAUGAAUGCACACAUCACAAAGUGGUUUCUUAGAUAGCUUCCUUAUGUUUUUUAUCCUGAGUAUUCGCUAUUUCACCAUUGGCCUCAAUGAGCUCCCAAAUGUCCAUUUGCAGAAUGGUCAAAACCAGUGUUUUCAAACUGCUGAAUCAAAAGAAAUUUUAACACUGUGAGAUGAAUACACACAUCACAAAAGGGUUUCUCAGAAAACUUCUUUCUAGUUUUUUUCUGAAUAUAUUUUCUCUAUCACCAUAGGCCUUAAUGCACUCCCAAAUAUCCUUUCGCUAGAUAGAUUCCUUCUAGUUUUUGUCCUGGGAUAUUCACUUUUUUGCCAUUGUCCUCAAAGAGCUCCCAAAGUCCAUUUGUAGAAUGGACAAACACGGUAUCUGCAAACUGCUGAAUCAAAAUGAAGUUUUAACUCUUUAAGGUCAAGGCACACGUCACAAAGAACUUCCUCAGAAAGCUUCUUUCUAGUUUUAUCUGAAGAUGUUUUCUUUUCCACCAUAGGCCUCAAUGCACUCCCAAAUAUCCCUUUGCAGAUUCUACAAAAACAGUGUUUCCAAACUGCUGAAUGAAAAGUAAGGUUUAACUCUGUGAGAUGAAUGCUCACAUCACAGAGUGGUUUCUCAGAUGGCUUCCUUUCAGUUUUUAUCCUGAAAUAUUUGCUUUUUUGCCAUUUGCCACAAUGUGCUCCCAAAUGUCCAUUGGCAGAAUGGACAAAAACAGUGUUUCCAAACAGCUGAAUUGAAAGAAAGGUUUAUCUCUGAAAGAUGAAUGCAAACAUCACAAAACAGUUCCUCAGAAAGCUUCUUUCUAGUUUUUAUGUGGAUAUUUUCUUUUUCACAAUAGGCCUCAAUAGGAUUCCAAAUAUCCCUUUGCCGAUUCUACCAAAACAGUGUUUCCAAACUGCCUAAUGAAAAGUAAGUUUUAACUGUGUGAGAUGAAUGCACACAUCACAAAGUGGUUUCCUAGAUAGCUUCCUUCUAGUUUUUAUCCUGGGAUAUUUGCUUUUUGACCAUUUACCUCAAUGAGCUCCAAAAUUUCCAUUUGCAUAAAGGACAAAAACAGUGUUUCCAAACUGCUGAACCAAAGAAAAGUUUGACUCUGUGAGAUGAAUGCACACAUCACAAAGCAGAUUCUCAGAAACUUUCUUUCUAGUUUUUAUCGAAAGAUAUUUAAUUUUGCACCUUAGGCCUCAAUGCCCUCCCAAAUAUCCCUUUGCAGAUUCUGCAAUAACUGUGUUUCCAUGUUGCUGAAUGAAAAGAAAGGUUUUACUCUGUGAGAUGAAUGCACACAUCAUAAAGCAGCUUCGCAGAUAGCUUCCUUCUAAUUUUUAUCCUGGGAUAUUCGACUUUUGGCCAUUGUCAUCAAAGAGCAACAAAAUGUCCAUUUGCAGAAUGGACAAAAACAUUGUUUCCAAACUGCCAAAUCCAAAGAAAAGUUUAAUUCUGUGAGAUGAAUGAUCACAUCACAAAGCAGUUUCCCAGAAAUCUUCUUUCUAUUUUUUAUCUAAAGAUAUUUUCUUUUUCACCAUAGGCCUCAAUGCACUCUCAAAUAUCCCUUAGCGGAUUCUACAAAAACAGUGUUUCCAAACUGCUGAAUGAAAUGAAAGAUUUAACUCUGCGACAUGAAUGCACACAUAACAAGUGGUUUCCCAGAUAGAUUUAUUCUAGUUUUUAUCCUGGGAUAUUCACUUUUUUGCUAUUGUCCUCAAAGAGGUCCCAAAUGUCCAUUCACAGAAUCAACAGUGUUUCCAAACUGCUGAAUCAAAAGAAAGAUUAAACUCUGUGAGACAUAUGCACACAUCACAAUGUAGUUUCUCAGAAAGCUUCUUUCCAGUAUUUACCUGAAGAUAUUUUCUUUUUCACCAUAGGCCUCAAAGGGCUCCCAAAUAUUCCAUCACAGAGUCUACAAAAGCCGUGUAUCCAAACUGCUGAAUGAAAAGGAAGGUUGAACACUGCUAGAUGAAUGCACACAUCACUAAGUAGUUUCUCAGAUAGAUUACUUGUAGUUAUUAUCCUGGGAUAUUCUCUUUUUUGCCAUUGGCCUCAAUGAACACCCAAUUAUCCACUCACAGAAUAGACAAAAACAGUGUUUCCAAACUGCUGAAUCAAAAGAAUGGUUAAACUCUGUGAGAUGAAUGCACAGAUCACAAAGCAGUUUCUCCAAAAGCUUCUUUCUAGUUUUUAUCUGAAUAGAUUUCCUUUUUCACCAUAGGCUUCAAUGUGCUCCCAAAUAUCCCUUCACAGAUUCUUCAAAAAAAGUGCUUCCAAACUGCUGAAUGAAAAGAAAAGUUUAUCUCUGUGAGAGGGAUGCAUACUUCACAAAGUGGUUUCCCAGAUAGUUUUCUUAUAGUAUUUUUCCUGGGAUAUUAGCUGUAUUACCCUUGCCCUCAAUUAGCUCCCAAAUGUCCAUUUGCAGAAUGGAUAAAAAGAGUGUUUCUAAAGUGCUGAAUCAAAAGAAAGUUUUAACUCUGUGAGAUGAGUGUACACAUCACAAAUCAGUUUUUUAGAAAGGUUGUUUCAAGUUUUUAUCUGAAGUAAUUUUCUUUUUCACCAUAGGCCUCAGUGUGCUCCCAAAUAUCCCUUUGCAGAUUCUACAAAAAGAGUGUUCCAAAACUGCUGAAUGAAAAGAAAGAUUUAAUUCUGUGAGAUGAGUGCACACAACACAAGGCAGUUUCUCAGAUAGAUUCCUUCUAGUUGUUAUCUUGGGAUAUGUGCUUUUUCGCCAUUGGCCUCAAUGAGCUCCCAAAUGUCCAUUUGCAGAAUGGACAAAAAGAGUGUUUCCAAACUGCUUAAUCAAAAGAAAGUUUUAACUGUGAGAUGAAUGCACACAUUACAGAGCAGUUUUCAGGAAUGUUCUUUCUAGUUCUUAUCUGAAGAUAUUUUCCUUCUCACCGUAGGCCUCAAUGAACUCCCAAAUAUCCCUUCACAGAUUCUGAAAAAACAGUGUUUCCACACUUCUGAAUGAAAAGAAAGGUGUAAUUCUGCAAGACAAAUGCACACAUAACAAAGCGGUUUCUCAGAUUCCUUCUAGUUUUUAUCCUGGGAUAUUCACUUUUUUUACCAUUGACCUCAAAGAGCUCCCAAAUAUCCAUACACAUAAUCGACAAAAAAAGUGUUUAAAAAGGGCUCAAUCAAAAGAAAGGUUUAACUCUGUGAGAUGAAUGCUCAACUAAUAAAGCAGUUUCUCAAAAAGCUUUUCUCUAAUUUUUAUGUGAAGAUAUUUUGUUUUUCAACAUAGGCCUCAAUGCACUCCCAAAUAUCCCUUUGCACAUUCUACAGAAACAGUGUUUCCAAACUGCUGAAGGACAAGAAAGGUUUACCUCUG